rnacentral:rRNA from 1 species
UACAGAGGUCCCAAGCGUUGUUCGGAUUCAUUGGGCGUAAAGGGUGCGUAGGCGGUGAUGUAAGUUGGAUGUGAAAUCCCAGGGCUCAACCCUGGAACUGCAUUCAAUACUGCAUUGCUAGAGUACUGGAGAGGAGAUUGGAAUUCACGGUGUAGCAGUGAAAUGCGUAGAUAUCGUGAGGAAGACCAGUGGCGAAGGCGAAUCUCUGGACAGUAACUGACGCUGAGGCACGAAGGCUAGGGGAGCAAACGGG